rnacentral:rRNA from 1 species
GACGAACGCUGGCGGCGUGCUUAACACAUGCAAGUCGAACGGAAAGGCCCUGCUUUUGUGGGGUGCUCGAGUGGCGAACGGGUGAGUAACACGUGAGUAACCUGCCCUUGACUUUGGGAUAACUUCAGGAAACUGGGGCUAAUACCGGAUAGGAGCUCCUGCUGCAUGGUGGGGGUUGGAAAGUUUCGGCGGUUGGGGAUGGACUCGCGGGUUAUCAGCUUGUUGGUGGGGUAGUGGCUUACCAAGGCUUUGACGGGUAGCCGGCCUGAGAGGGUGACCGGCCACCUGGGGACUGAGAUACGGCCCAGUCUGCUACGGGACGCAGCAGGGGGGAACAUUGCACAACGGGGGGAAGCCUGAUGCAGCAACGCCGCGUGCGGGAUGACGGCCUUCGGGUUGUAAACCGCUGUCGCCGGUGACGAAGCGUGAGUGACGGUAAUGGGUAAAGAAGCACCGGCUAACUACGUG